GUUGUUACGCCGGGAUAGAAAGGGUUCGAUGUGCGAACGAAUCCCAUAUUGCACACGUGGAGAACAAAUGCAUUGUCAUCGACACGAUACACACUGGGCGCUGACAUCUUGGUGUUGUUUGCUUUGUCAGAGUAGGAUUGCAUUCCAGUGAACGAGAAUCUAUUAAAAUAUAUCCCAAAACCCCUGAAUUAGAACAGAACUUGUAUAAUUAGUUGAAUUAGUAUAGCUGAAAAUAGUGAAGAUUUCUAUCGUAUGAACGCCUGCUAGGAGUAGUUAACCGUAGGAUUGUGUAAAAGCAUAUCAUUGAUAUAACAGGAAAAAGCGAGUGCUGAGGGUCG